rnacentral:rRNA from 1 species
GUGUCAGCCGCCGCGGUAAUACGGAGGGUGCAAGCGUUAUCCGGAUUCACUGGGUUUAAAGGGUGCGUAGGUGGGUUGAUAAGUCAGUGGUGAAAUCUCCGAGCUUAACUUGGAAACUGCCAUUGAUACUAUUAGUCUUGAAUGCCGUGGAGGUUAGUGGAAUAUGUCAUGUAGCGGUGAAAUGCUUAGAUAUGACAUAGAACACCCAUUGCGAAGGCAGCUGACUACACGGAAAUUGACACUGAGGCACGAAAGCGUGGGGAUCAAACAGGAUUAGAUACCCUCGUAGUCC